AAAUUCCUUUAUCUGUAAAUUCAAUAAAAAAAAUCAUUCUAACUUUCCAGAAUUGAUAGUUCACACCACAGAAUAAAGGUGGUCUAUUGAUAGAAGCUCCCUCCCAAAAAGGUAACUUGUCAGCCAUUAAAACAGGUUUGAAAAACAGAACUUGAAAAAAUUUCAAGAACCUAACUCUUGAUGCCAAUUGUUAGAAUUAAUGACCUUAACAAGAAGGGGGUGAAUUGUUUAAGGAAAGUUUUUCGCAAAUAUUGGCUAAGAAUGAAGAUUAAUGAUGAUUUACAUAUCAAAGAAUCAGAUCAGCCAAGAAAACAAAUUGAUUAAAAAUUAUUAUCAGAAAAACAAUAGGUUGAAAAUAGGAUUUAAUCGAUUGUUUAUGGCAGCAGAGAUAAAAUCACAAGUCAAACAAUUUUUAAGUGAGUGAGAAAGAGAGAAGAUCACACAAACAAUUAUACUGGUUCACUCCUUACCAGAGCUACAUUCAGUCCUCACAAAACCACUGGGUAUUCCACUAGGUAAUCAACAACAGAUUACAACACACCACAACCUCAAAUAGGUGAUCUUGACCACUCAAGAGCACACUCCCUCUUUGACUUCUUACACACACAUUCAAAACAACCCCCUGACUUUACAAAUACACAGAUUACAAGUAUUAAAACUGAAAAACAAUUACAAGAGAAUAUGGAACAGAUUACACCUGAUUACAGGAAAUCACAAUUGCUACUAAUCCACUUUUUAACCAAAGCACAGCCCAAGGCAAUCUUGCUUUCUUGAAUCCAAACUUUCACAAAAUGUAUUUUGAAUCACUUUUCUCUCUACUCAAAUAGGGAGGGUAAUCCCAACUUCAUACCUCUUCAAACUAGUCGUUAUAAGCAACUAAACAUGAGCCAAAAUAGUUUGAAAACAACAGAAAACAUAUAUAACAGAUUUAUGAAAAUCUGUUAAGAAAUUCAAAAAUCAACUGGUUGAAAUGUCGAUUUAAUCGGUUGAAUUGGUUUGACAGUUUAAGUCAACCAAAGUCAAAUCAGUUCAAAAAACCCUUCACACAAGCUGAGGGAAAAACAAUCGAUUAAAAUGAGAAAUCAACAGGUUAUUUUUCACUUAGCUUUGAAAAACACUUUUCUUUUUAAAACCAAAUUGAUUCAAUUGUGAAUUUGAUUAAGAGUGGAUCUAGCAAAUUCUAAACUACCUAUAACUAAACCGUAAACUCAGCAACAAAGUCUUCAAGUUGUCUUCAUGGAUUUGGAGGAAUCAAAGCUUCAUUUUCAACAGCAUUCUUUAUCCUUGAACCAAGGAGAAAAGGUAGGUGAGGCUGGCGUGUGGGUAGGAUCAGAAUGGCGAUGGAGUUUAAGGUGGAGACGUGCUAGGUUUGUGUGGGAAACUAUUAUGGAGGAAGACCUUUUAAGGCUCAUAUCUCAAACCAAUCGGUAUAAGGAUGUGAAGGACUACCAGGUGUGGAGGAAUGAAGAAUCAAGAGUGUUCUCAGUGAAAUCGGCGUACGAUCACUUAGCUAACCCCGUAACUGAUCCUUGUAAUGACCUCUUCUAGUGUUUUUGGAAGAUAAAAGUGCUACCCAACGUGUUGUUUACGACAUGGAGGGUCUUGUUGGAUAGAAUCUCAACAACAAUGGUAUUAAGUAGGAGAGGAGUGUCAGUGCCUACUCCUUUGUGUGCUAUGUGUCAGGACAAGGAGGAGUCAAGUCAACAUCUGUUCAUAGAAUGCAUGAUUGCACAGAAGGUUUGGGCCACAUGUUCCAGAUGGAUUGGUAUUCUAUCAGUGCAACACAAUGAAGUGAAGUGCCAUUUUGUGAAUUUUCAUCUGGUACAGGUGAAUAACAAUCAAAACUUGGUGUGGAAAGGUAUUUGGGCAGCUAUUGUGAGGUGUAUUUGGGAUCAGGGAAACAACCUUAUUUUCAAGCAAGGAACAGUUGAUGCAAAAUAGAUUUUCCAGAUUGCGCAACUUAAGUCUUAAUUUUGGAUGAAGUAUAGGACUCCCUUCUUUCAAUCACUCCUUCUCGGACUAGGUCCUGAAUCCCCUUCCAUGUAUUAGAAGUUAUAGGUAAGGGGAAGGAAUACAGGAAGGGCAACACAAAGUAGACCAACCCUAUCAAUGUUGAUGCAGUUCUAAGGUGUUGCAGGAAUUAAUAGUAGCAGCAGAGGUGUUGAACCCCUCCCCAGGGAUCCCCCAGUUUCCAUAUCAUUAUGAGGCUGGUGUAGAAGUAGGAUGUGGACUUUAUGUAGCUCUGCUACUGGUGCGGGUCCAGAAGCAUAGUUCUCAGGGUCAGGGUAAGCUAUGCAGGUUGUUCUGGCUGCAUAAUUGACGAAAAGUUUGUGUUAGUGAUCUCUUGGUCUAUCAGAUGUUGGGAGAAAGCCUAAGCAGGCCAAUCUAUGAGAAGCAAACUUCAGUUUUGAGUGCAACCAUGAAUCUGAAUAAUUUAGGUAGUAAAAUGCUACUCUUUAGAUGCUAACUGCGGUACUCUGACGAAUCUUUUAUCCAUAUAGUGCAGGUUGCACAAUGAUGGAAAUAGAAUUUUAUUUUCAUCUAGAAGGAUAUUUUUAAGGUGCGAAACAGAACAACUAUGUAGCUCUUGAGGUAGAAAUGUCAAAGGUCUAUAGGUUCUGCUUUGUGGACCCGUACGAGAAGAAAAUCAAAAGCCUGGAUGAGGUAUAGCAGGAGACAUUAGCUUUAUGUGCAGGAAAUAGCUAUGUCUAUGAGUAGAAUGGCUUGAGAAGAUUUUGUUGCAGCCAUUAUAUAAUCAUGCAGUUUGGCUCUUGGAGGAAGAAUGGUGGGAAUAAGGUAGAAUGAAUGGUGCAGGAAAAUAGGCGGGAUGAUGCAGUUAAGACUGCAAAAGUGCCUCUUUGUUCUUGUAAAGGUUGGCCAGAGUUCAUUCCAUUACUUGCAUUUAUGUUGGUGUGUGGUAGAGAAUUUUAUGAAAGUGCUUCUCUGUUGUAUAAGGUGCUGCUACCAACAUUGAGAUUUUUGCAGUUUCAUGCUUAAUGCAUAAGUUUGAAGGUCUAGGACCUUAUUGCUUGGAGGAUGCUUAGUCCUUAAUUUGUAGUUUUUUUUGGCGAUGGCAACUUAUUUAUGGAAAAGUUGCUAGGAUGUUCAUUCUUGUAUAAAAAAUGUAUAAAUACUGUGUUCGGUAACCUAGUGUACCCAGUGUAGCUUUUGGAUUUUUUCCUAUGUUAUCAAAAUGUUACUUUCUUUUUGUUUUGCCUGUUAUUGCAUACAGGUUGAUUGAGUUAGGGUUACUGUAUUUUGGUUUGUUAUUUUUGUAGUGCAGUUGCGAAUAAAUGUUUUAGAAUUAAAUAAAAACAUUAUUUUUUAGAGAUAGGAAAAAAAGAACUUGUUGUUAGGUAAGUUUAUUUUGAAGUAUGUUUUAAAAAUAUGUAAAAUUAUAUAAUUGAUAGAAAAUUCAAUUCACUGCAUUUUUUUUCUCUUUUUUAUUCAUAGAGAGGAGAGAUAAAAUAAUAUUAGUUCAACACAGACUCAGUUUUACCUCAUUCGUUAAGUUUAUAAAAAAUGUAAUUUUAACUGCCCAAUUCUUAAAUUAUAAAUACUUGAUUGGAAGUGUUGAUUUUAUAUAAAAUAAAUAAGAAAUAUUAAAUAAAAUAUUUUUUUUAAAUAUAUGUAAGAUAAAUUUGUUAUUAAAUUUGUAUAAAAAAAUCGUACUGACUGGUUAUCUAAAUUAAAUUUAAAUAGAAAUAACCUAUUAUGAUCCCAUUUUUAAUUUCAAAUAUAAUUAAAUUGAAAAUAAUUUUUGGAAAGAAACUACUCAAACUACUUUUUUUAAAAAAUCAAAUGAAAAACAGUUUUUAAACUGUUAUCGAAUAUGACUUCAAUAACUAAAUAUGGAAGGUCCAAUUUUUAUUUUCUCUCUUAAUAUUCAACUCAUAUUUUUGUUCACAUUGUCUAUAGUUUAUUUAUUAUAAAUAAUGUCAAGAUUUUGGGUUCAACAUGGAGAAGAGAUGUCAAGUGAGGAUAAUGUUGGUUAUGCAUCUAGUAGCCAUGGAAGAACGAAACCUAUUGAUAAUGUUGGUUCAGUGACCAAUAUGGUGUAUGAUGCAUACAUGCAAGAAACAGACAUAACAAGUCAUUAUGGUGACAUGGACAACAAUGAUGAAUAUGUAGAAGAGUCACCUAAUGUAGAAGCCCAGAGGUUUUAUGAUAUGUUAGCAACUGCAAAUGAACCUAUUUAUGAUGGUGCCACUUAGUCAAAAUUAUCAAUAGCCAUCAAACUGCUAGCGGCUAGAACGAAUUGGCAUACACCUGAAAAAUGUUUAGACUAUUUCAUAAAAUUGUUGGUUUAUGUAGCUCCCAAAGAUAAUUUCAUACCAAAAAGCUACUAUGACGCCAAAAAGGUUGUGUCAAGUCUUGGGUUGAAAGCCCAAAAAAUUGAUUGUUGUGAGGCUGGGUGCAUGUUGUAUUACAAGGAUGACAACUAUUUAAUGGAAUGCAAAUUUUGUCAUCUUUCUCAGUAUUUUCCUUCUAAGGGUGACAAUGGAAGAUAUAAAAAAUUUCAAUGAAGAGAAUGUUUUAUUUGCCAAUCAUUCCAAGAUUACAAAGACUGUAUGCAUCAAUGGAAUCUGCUAAGCAAAUGAGAUGGCAUACUCUCAUACCUGGCCCAAGUAACCCAACUAAUAAAAUAGAUGUUUACAUGCAACCUCUUAUUGAUGAUCUUAACCAAUUGUGGAAUGAAGGUGUAAUGACAUAUGCCUGAACCUCGUAACGUUGUCCCCUUCUACUAUAUAGACUCCAUUUUAUAGUAAAACCACCAUAACUAAAACCACCAUGUGCAUGCCUCUGCACAUCUUUUAUACCCACUCUCAUUCAUCAUGUGUCCUUGUCCCAACACCACUCUAUAUAUAAACCUUCUCUUAUUCACCUUUUUUAUUAAACUUUAAUUAACUUUACAUGUCUUCAACUCAAAAUUUACCAUCAAAAUUAGUUUAAUAUAAUUGUUAAGGUAACUUAACAUAAUCUCAGCAUCCAACUUCCUUCUCCAGCUCCAAAACCAAACCAGCUCCCACACUAUACCAUUAACCACACCUGACCUUCUUAUCAAUUUGUGCUAAAAACAGAUCCUCCUCUAUUUUUAUAAUAUACAUGCUGCCUAACAUCACAACAGCAAUGCUCCUACACCUAUUAUCAAAUAAUCUACCAAUAACCUAUGAAUCAACAUUUUGUACCAAAUAAAGAACUGAAGCACUUAAAACAAAAUCAUCAGCAGUUUAAUCCGAAAAUCAAACAGAAAUUAAUCAUUAAAAAAACAAAAUAGCAACAAAUACUUGAAAAAAACACUAAUCCAAGGGUUCAAAUGUGAGAGUCACUACGCUACACAUCAGUUAAAAAUUAAAUAAAAAUGAAGCGAAAGUGAAAACGAAAAUCAAAUCAAAAACAAAAAACCUUACCUAAUUGUAGGAACAACUUGAAGCUACGCUAGAGAUUGACAAAUUCUGAUCCAACGAUGCGGAUGAACGAAUUGAACAGAGAGUGAAAACCAAUUGAACGAGAAACUGAAAACGAGUAAGCCGAAGCGGAGACCGAGAGAGUGAGAAAGAGCAACAAGAUUGAAAAUGAAGGAGAAGAAGGAAAUUGUAGGUGGAAGAAGAAAACUCACUCUGAGAAGGAAGAAAAACAGGAACUGACUGCGUGAGAUGGAAGAAGAAUGGGUAUUGUGCGUGACUAUGUGAGAUGGAAGAAGAAUGGGGACUAUGCGUGAAAGAAGAAGAAAACUGUCUAAGGGAAGAAGAAAGUGUGUUAAAAUUAU
rnacentral:lncRNA from 1 species